AUACGGAGGGGGCAAGCGUUGUUCGGAAUUACUGGGCGUAAAGGGCGCGUAGGCGGAUUAUCAAGUCAGAGGUGAAAGCCCUGGGCUCAACCUGGGAACUGCCUUUGAAACUGAUAGUCUUGAGGCCGGAAGAGGAUGGCGGAAUUCCCAGUGUAGAGGUGAAAUUCGUAGAUAUUGGGAAGAACACCAGUGGCGAAGGCGGCCAUCUGGUCCGGUUCUGACGCUGAGGCGCGAAAGCGUGGGGAGCAAACAGGAUUAGAUACCCCAGUAGUCC
rnacentral:rRNA from 1 species